UUUCCUAAAUUUCUUCCUAAAAUAUGUUGACAUAAAAUAGUAAAAGGUCUUGUAUCAACUUGAAUUGAGGCAUAAACUUUUUUUUUAUGAUUAUUUUUAUUUCAUAUUGUAAUCGACUAGAUGUGUACUGUCAAUCCAUUGGUAGUACAGAAAAUUCCUCAUUACUAAGAAAUUCUUCAAAUUUGUGAUCUUUUUCCUGUGCAGGGGCAUGGGAUAUCCUG
rnacentral:misc_RNA from 1 species